rnacentral:rRNA from 1 species
AUAGCGUAUAUUAAAGUUGUUGCAGUUAAAAAGCUCGUAGUUGAACUUCAGACCUGGCUGGGUGGUCCGCCUCACGGUGUGUACUGUUCGGCUGGGUCUUACCUCUUGGUGAGCUGGCAUGUCCUUCACUGGGUGUGUCAGGGAACCAGGACUUUUACCUUGAGAAAAUUAGAGUGUUCAAAGCAGGCCUGCGCCUGAAUACAUUAGCAUGGAAUAAUAAAAUAGGACGUGCGGUUCUAUUUUGUUGGUUUCUAGAGUCGCCGUAAUGAUUAAUAGGGAUAGUUGGGGGCAUUAGUAUUCAGUUGCUAGAGGUGAAAUUCUUGGAUUUACUGAAGACUAACUACUG